rnacentral:misc_RNA from 1 species
GUUUUAGAGAGAGAAAAAAGAGGGAGUUUUAGAGAGAGAAAUUAAAAGAGGAGAGAAGUACGGCCAAUGGGAGACUCGAGCGGCUCCGUUUCGGUGGAUAUGGAAACAAUCUCCGUCACCGGAAAGGAGCACCUUGUAAAAACUGGCCGUGGUUAUGUCUCUGUUGCCGUUUUUGGGGACCAGGACAAGCCGGCUCUUAUCACCUACCCUGAUUUAGCUUUAAAUUAUAUGUCCUGUUUCCAAGGAUUAUUCUAUUGUCCAGAAGCAUUUUCAUUGCUGCUCCAUAACUUCUGUAUUUACCACAUAAGUCCUCCUGGUCAUGAGUUGGGAGCUGCUGUCAUGAGUCUUGAUGAUCCUGUCUUAUCGGUUGAUGAUUUAGCAGACCAGAUUGUGGAGGUGCUUGAUUACUUUAGGCUUGGUAAAGUAAUGUGUAUGGGUGUAACAGCUGGAGCAUAUAUUCUUACCUUGUUUGCGGUAAAAUACACACAAAGGGUUAUGGGUUUGAUACUCGUUUCCCCCUUGUGCAAAGCACCCUCUUGGACAGAAUGGUUGUGUAAUAAGGUGAUGACAAAUCUGCUUUACUAUUGUGGCAUGUGUACGUUGGUGAAGGAGUUACUGCUGUUGCGGUACUUUAGCAAGGAAGUCCGCGGCAGUGUUGAAGUUCCAGAAUCUGAUGUAGUUCAAGCAUGCCGAAGAGUUAGUGUUUAAUUUUUUGGAGUCCUUUAUUUCCUUUGCUAGGUGAGAGACAGAGUCCAAAUGUAUUGCGGUUGCUCGAAGCUAUGAAUGAGAGACCAGACAUAACCCAAGGCUUGCGGAAACUAAAAUGUCGUUCUUUAAUAUUUGUUGGAGAGAG